rnacentral:rRNA from 1 species
GACGGAGGAUGCAAGUGUUAUCCGGAAUCACUGGGCGUAAAGCGUCUGUAGGUGGUUUAAUAAGUCAACUGUUAAAUCUUGAGGCUCAACCUCAAAAUCGCAGUCGAAACUAUUAGGCUAGAGUAUAGUAGGGGUAAAGGGAAUUUCCAGUGGAGCGGUGAAAUGCGUAGAGAUCGGAAAGAACACCGAUGGCGAAGGCACUUUACUGGGCUAUUACUAACACUCAGAGACGAAAGCUAGGGUAGCAAAUGGG